rnacentral:misc_RNA from 1 species
GUUCCGUAGGUGAACCUGCGGAAGGAUCAUUAUUGUAUAACCGAGGUGCAAGGGCUGUCGCUGACCCGAAAGGUCGUGCACGCCCGAGUGCCCUCACACACAUCCAUCUCACCCCUAUGUGCACCACCGCGUGGGUCCCCCUUUGGCUUGUUCGGACGGGGGGUUACGUUUUCACACACACUUUGUAUGCAGUGUAGAAUGUAUUUUUUGUUUUUGCGAUCCCGAAAUAAAUACAACUUUCAACAACGGAUCUCUUGGCUCUC